AUUGAACGCUGGCGGCAUGCUUUACACAUGCAAGUCGAACGGUAACAGGCCUUAGGGUGCUGACGAGUGGCGAACGGGUGAGUAAUGCAUCGGAACGUACCCAGAGGUGGGGGAUAACGCAGCGAAAGCUGUGCUAAUACCGCAGGUGAUCUGAGGAUGAAAGCGGGGGACCGAGCAGCAAUGUUUGGCCUCGCGCCUUUGGAGCGGCCGAUGUCGGAUUAGCUAGUUGGUGGGGUAAAGGCCUACCAAGGCGACGAUCCGUAGCUGGUCUGAGAGGACGACCAGCCACCCUGGGACUGAGACACGGCCCAGACUCCUACGGGAGGCCGCAGUGGGGAAUUUUGGACAAUGGGCGCAAGCCUGAUCCAGCAAUGCCGCGUGCGGGAAGAAGGCCUUCGGGUUGUAAACCGCUUUUGGCAGGAACGAAACGGUGUCCGCUAAUACCGGGCGCUAAUGACGGUACCUGCAGAAUAAGCACCGGCUAACUACGUG
rnacentral:rRNA from 1 species